rnacentral:lncRNA from 1 species
GAACUUAUUUUGAGAGAGAGCACUUCAUCAUGAGGUCAUAAAGAUGAGCUUCAAAUGCCUCUCACCAUUCUAACGGCAUUGAUCUAAUGAUGCCAACAGGAAGUUGUCGUGCUUGAAUUGGUCCAGGCAUCACCACCUUCUCAACCAGCAUUGACGAUUUCUAAUGACCAGUUCAACAGCCUUAUCCAGCAGAUGUAGGCUUUGACUGUUGCCGUAUAAGAAAUGCAACAAGUUGCUGCACUUCAGCUCGCACCAGAGACUUUACAUCAAGAUCAAGCU